rnacentral:lncRNA from 12 species
CAUCACCUUACAUAAUUUCCCUUGUGCUGCUCUGUUCUAUGGAUGGCCAUCCCAGUAGGAUGUUAAGUGAUUUUAGAAGUAUCUUUAAAGUAUCAGCCAUGUUGUAAGUAUUAUGUUGUAUCCUAAAAAUCUGGGCUGGUGAUCAAAUUCAAAAUGUCUCCACCUCUGAACUCAUCAUGUGCCAUCCCCUUUUAGGCUCUGGACACUCCAGCCACGCAGGAGUUUUGGAAUUCCUUCAAUCUACCUUUCUGUUGCAGAGCUGUUUCAUGCCUCUGGUUGACUCUUCCUCACAAACUAGACCUUCCUAAUCCCUAUUCACCCUUCAGGUUUAAAGUGACCGUAUCCUACUCUCAGGGCUGCUGCUCUAGUCCCUGGGGGAAGAGGCCGGACACAAGCUCAGUACACAGGAGGGAAGGACAGGUUUGCAAAGAUGGGCAGAACCAAGCGUCAGGUGCGUACAGGAUGGGGACUCACAGAAAACAUGUAAGAAAGGUGGCGGAGAUGCCUAGGGCAAGGGGGCUCUGAACCCCGGGGCCCAGGACAGGGAUCACGUGAGGCUCAGACUCCAUGGGGAGGGACCAGAACAGGCAAAGGUCUCCCAGAUCUUAGAAGCCCAAACUCACCAGCCACUGUAGUCUUUUCAACUGAGCACGUAACUGGGGGGUAUGAACCCUCACAGGAGUUAGGGUAGAGAGAAAGAGGAAAGGACUAG